CAGUGAAAAUUUAAACGGCCGCGGUAUUCUAACCGUGCAAAGGUAGCGUAAUCACUUGUCUUCUAAAUAAAGACCAGUAUGAACGGCUAAAUGAGGACAAACCUGUCUCCUACAACCAAUCAGUGAAACUGAUCUCCCAGUCCAAAAGCUGGGAUAAUACCAUAAGACGAGAAGACCCUGUGGAGCUUUAAAUAAAUCACUAACAAGCACUUACUUUAAGCGCACCUAGUGACAAAUUUUAAGUUGGGGCGACUUCGGAAUAAAAUACAACUUCCGAGCAAAGAACCACAAGCUCUUACAAAGGCCAACAAGCCAAAGUUUUAAACAACAGACCCAGUCACACUGAUCAACGAACCAAGUUACCCCAGGGAUAACAGCGCUAUCUUCUUCAAGAGUCCAUAUCGACAAGAAGGUUUACGACCUCGAUGUUGGAUCAGGACACCCAAAUGGUGCAGCCGCUAUUAAAGGUUCGUUUGUUCAACGAUUAAUAG
rnacentral:rRNA from 1 species